CAUUUCUACCAUGUUAACCUGCUUUGCAGGGCUGUAGUGAGAAUUUAAAUGUGGAAUUUAUAUUAUUCUCUUCUGGCAGUUUGGCCUGGAUCCUGGUGGGUGAGCUUUCCCUCCUACUAACAGGGGAAGCAGGGAAAGGCAUUUUCAAUUAUUAGAAACAUCCUUAGUUAGUGGGGUAUGAAAUGAAAAUAGCCCACUAGAAUACAAGCUUCAGAAGGGAAGAGGUCUCACCUGUCUUGAGUCUGUUGCUCACAUAAUUCCUGAUAUAUAGUAGAUGCACAAGCAAUAUGAAGAAAUGUAAACAUGUGUACACCUCCUACCUUCAUUAUAAGAUGGAUUCUAACACAGAGUCAUUUUUCAUACCAACCGUGCAAUUACCAGGCAAGUGAUGCUAAUUACUAGUUCUCAUGACCACUAUUGAGUUUAAUUCAAGAGUUUUAUUGGAUCCCCUGAAGCUCCUACAACCCUCUAAAUCAUGGGGAUUCAAUAACAGUCUUUUUAUCAGUAUGUUCACAAGAUAAAUUGAGUAAACCAGCUUAAUGACUCAUCUUCAUGACUUAUGACGUUAAGAAUAAGAUGGGGGGAAAUGACAAAUGUGAUAAAAACUGAUGGCUCUGAGAAAAUGUCAUGGGCAUGUGGUUCUGAAUGCUCUCCCAUGUGGCUCUAGGGGCCUCAGCAACCUUCAGUCCCGUGUCCACCCUCACUCCGCUUCAAUAAUCAAUUUGUUCUUAUCCAAAGCAUUUUUGAGGACCUUGUUACUCUUCUUCUCUGUGUUAAUCAGGCACACAGGCCUAAAAUAUCAAAUCCUAGGCAGAUGCAUGAACCCACAGGACAGCAACAUCGGGAGGGCAGAGUAGAGGCAGGCUUCAGUUCAAAGCAGGCAUAGGCUUGGAGAGGGAAACUGGGAAAUGAAAACAAGUUGUCUAUAUAGACUCUCUCCCUAGAAGUCCAUUUAAAGAAAAUAGAAGCUCAGUAAAAUCAAAAUCCAUGGGCAGUGGUGCCAUGCAAAGAGCAAAGACCUGAAUCUGAGUCUUGGAUCAGUGAGCGUCUUAGCUUUGCCUCCAAGCUCCAGUUUCCUCCACUCUAACUGGGGACGUAUUCUCUCCUCUCUCCUGGUUUCCU
rnacentral:lncRNA from 10 species